rnacentral:rRNA from 1 species
GUAAGUGUUUAAGGGCGCAUGGUGGAUGCCUUGGCAUCAGAGGCCGAUGAAGGACGUGGGAGGCUGCGAUAUGCCUCGGGGAGCUGCCAACCGAGCGUGGAUCCGAGGAUGUCCGAAUGGGGAAACCCAGCACGAGUGAUGUCGUGUUACCCGUAUCUGAAUCUAUAGGGUGCGGGGGGUAACGCGGGGAAGUGAAACAUCUCAGUACCCGUAGGAAGAGAAAACAAUUGUGAUUCCGUGAGUAGUGGCGAGCGAAAGCGGAGGAUGGCUAAACCGUAUGCAUGUGAUACCGGGUAGGGGUUGUGUGUGCGGGGUUGUGGGACCUGAGUUUCUGGGGCUACCUCUCCAGAGGGCAGUGAGAAAGUGACGUGGUUAGCGGAAGUGGUCUGGGAUGGCCUGCCGUAGACGGUGAGAGCCCGGUACGUGAAAACCCGUUGCCUGCCUUGUUCAGUGUUCCCGAGUAGCAGCGGGCCCGUGGAAUCUGCUGUGAAUCUGCCGGGACCACCCGGUAAGCCUGAAUACCUUCUGAUGACCGAUAGCGGAUUAGUACCGUGAGGGAAUGGUGAAAAGUACCCCGGGAGGGGAGUGAAAGAGUACCUGAAACCGUGUGCCUACAAUCCGUCAGAGCCCUCCUUCGUGGUGGGGUGAUGGCGUGCCUUUUGAAGAAUGAGCCUGCGAGUCAGGGACAUGUCGCGAGGUUAACCCGUGUGGGGUAGCCGCAGCGAAAGCGAGUCUGAAUAGGGCGUAUCCGAUCCGUGGGGAUUGGUGUAGUGGUGUGUUCUGGACCCGAAGCGGAGUGAUCUACCCAUGGCCAGGGUGAAGCAGCAGUAAGAUGUUGUGGAGGCCCGAACCCACUUAGGUUGAAGACUGAGGGGAUGAGCUGUGGGUAGGGGUGAAAGGCCAAUCAAACUCCGUGAUAGCUGGUUCUCCCCGAAAUGCAUUUAGGUGCAGCGUUGCGUGUUUCUUACCGGAGGUAGAGCUACUGGAUGGCCGAUGGGCCUCACAAGGUUACUGACGUCAGCCAAACUCCGAAUGCCGGUAAGUGAAAGCGUGGCAGUGAGACGGCGGGGGAUAAGCUCCGUGCGUCGAGAGGGAAACAGCCCAGAUCGCCGGCUAAGGCCCCUAAGCGUGUGCUAAGUGGAAAAGGAUGUGCAGUCGCGAAGACAACCAGGAGGUUGGCUUAGAAGCAGCCACCCUUGAAAGAGUGCGUAAUAGCUCACUGGUCAAGUGAUUGUGCGCCGAUAAUGUAGCGGGGCUCAAGCACACCGCCGAAGCCGCGGCAAUCAGAAUUCUGUUCUGGUUGGGUAGGGGAGCGUCCUGCAUCCAGUGAAGCCGCCGAGUGAUCGAGUGGUGGAGGGUGUGGGAGUGAGAAUGCAGGCAUGAGUAGCGAUAAGGCAAGUGAGAACCUUGCCCGCCGAAAGACCAAGGGUUCCUGGGGCAGGCCAGUCCGCCCAGGGUGAGUCGGGACCUAAGGCGAGGCCGACAGGCGUAGUCGAUGGACAACGGGUUGAUAUUCCCGUACCCGUGUGUGCGCGCCCGUGACGAAUCCAUUCUGCUAACCGUCCAAAACCUGCAUCACCAAUCACCUUCGGGUGUGCGGGGUGUGGGGGCUGCACGGGACCCGGAUGGGUAGUAGUCAAGCGAUGGGGUGACGCAGGAAGGUAGCCGUACCAGUCAGUGGUAAUACUGGGGCAAGCCCGUAGGGAGAGACCUAGGUAAAUCCGGGUCUCACAUAAUCCUGAGAGGUGAUGCAUAGCCGAGUGAGGCGAAUUCGGUGAUCCUAUGCUGCCAAGAAAAGCCUCUAGCGAGUGCUCACACGGCCCGUACCCCAAACCGACACAGGUGGUCAGGUAGAGAAUACCAAGGCGUACGAGUGAACUAUGGUUAAGGAACUCGGCAAAAUACCCCCGUAACUUCGGGAGAAGGGGGACCCCUUACCGUCAACACCCUUGCGGUGGGUAGCGGUGGGGGGUCGCAGAAACCAGUGAGAAGCGACUGUUUACUAAAAACACAGGUCCGUGCGAAGUCGCAAGACGAUGUAUACGGACUGACGCCUGCCCGGUGCUGGAAGGUUAAGAGGACCGGUCAACCACUUCGGUGGUGAAGCUGAGAAUUUAAGCCCCAGUAAACGGCGGUGGUAACUAUAACCAUCCUAAGGUAGCGAAAUUCCUUGUCGGGUAAGUUCCGACCUGCACGAAUGGCGUAACGACUUCUCAACUGUCUCAACCAUAGACUCGGCGAAAUUGCACUACGAGUAAAGAUGCUCGUUACGCGCGGCAGGACGAAAAGACCCCGGGACCUUCACUACAACUUGGUAUUGGAGUUCGAUACGGUUUGUGUAGGAUAGGUGGGAGACUGUGAAGCUCACACGCCAGUGUGGGUGGAGUCAUUGUUGAAAUACCACUCUGAUCGUAUUGGGCUUCUAACCUCGAACCGUAUAUCCGGUUCAGGAACAGUGCCUGGUGGGUAGUUUAACUGGGGCGGUUGCCUCCUAAAGAGUAACGGAGGCGCCCAAAGGUUCCCUCAACCUGGACGGCAAUCAGGUGUUGAGUGUAAGUGCACAAGGGAGCUUGACUGCGAGACGUACAUGUCGAGCAGGGACGAAAGUCGGGACUAGUGAUCCGGCACCCCC